CAAGAUGAAGUCCGGUACUCCAUAUCGGGUGAGGAUUUCCGUUCGGAGAAUCGUUGCUAUGGUGCUCGCAAUUGCAGUGCGCAUUGGAAAGAGCUCAACCCAUCGAGAGAAAUAAUCCACAAAAACUAGAAGGUCUUGAAUAUGCCACCAUGACCGCUUAGAGGAUUGGAGUGGUAGUAUUGAAGGACAGAUGGAAUGAGACUGCGAGGGAGGUACACCCUGUAGUGGACUUGGUCCUUUGUUAGAUGGUUGCAGCC